rnacentral:lncRNA from 1 species
CAGACCAACCAGGAGGCUGGCAUUUGGACCAAUCACAGGCCUGCUGCUGCGACAUACACAGCUCUCCUUGCUGGCUCCUGGUGGUCUAUGAAAGGCCCUGUUAGGUGAAGCCUCGCACCAGGAGCCCUGUAACUCUACCCCUUAUUUCUGCAGUAGUGUGGACUCAGAACGUCUUGUAAAUCUACUUUGCAAUAUUUCUCAAGUGCGAACAAAGGGGUCAAAGCAGUCCCUUAAACCAACCAACCAACCCAGACUAUAAACACGAUGGGCUGCUAUCGCUGAAGAGAAACCAGCAGCCCGUCAAGGUCGGUGUAGAGGCCAGUCGCGAGCAGGGCUGACCGGCAUUACCUGCGUGUGGCCGCAGCCAGUGCGGCUUUCCCGAGCCAGCUUGCUUUCCAGAAGGUUCCCUGGUUUCAGCCCCCACUACCUCACUGGAUCUCAGCCACGACAGCAGAGGCUGUUCCGGAGCCCAGCACCAAUCACCGACCUGUACUUGGGGCAAUCACAGGCCUGCAGCUGCUAUAUAAGCAGCGCUCCACCGUAUACUGACCUCCGUGUGCUCCAGCACAGGCUCUGUAAAACUUGCACAGGAAAAAUAUACAUUUAUUCAUCUGUUCCAAAGGACACAGCCAAACAUCUUUGA